AUUGAACGCUGGCGGCAUGCUUUACACAUGCAAGUCGAACGGUAACAGGGAGCUUGCUCCGCUGACGAGUGGCGAACGGGUGAGUAAUAUAUCGGAACGUACCCAAGAGUGGGGGAUAACGUAGCGAAAGUUACGCUAAUACCGCAUACGAUCUAUGGAUGAAAGCAGGGGACCUUCGGGCCUUGUGCUCCUGGAGCGGCCGAUAUCUGAUUAGCUAGUUGGUGAGGUAAAGGCUCACCAAGGCGACGAUCAGUAGCUGGUCUGAGAGGACGACCAGCCACACUGGAACUGAGACACGGUCCAGACUCCUACGGGAGGCAGCAGUGGGGAAUUUUGGACAAUGGGCGCAAGCCUGAUCCAGCAAUGCCGCGUGAGUGAAGAAGGCCUUCGGGUUGUAAAGCUCUUUUGUCAGGGAAGAAACGGCUGUGGCUAAUAUCCACGGCUAAUGACGGUACCUGAAGAAUAAGCACCGGCUAACUACGU
rnacentral:rRNA from 1 species